UACGAAGGGGGCUAGCGUUGUUCGGAAUGACUGGGCGUAAAGGGCGCGUAGGCGGCGAUUUUAGUCAGGCGUGAAAGCCCUGGGCUUAACCUAGGAACUGCGUUUGAUACUGGAUUGCUUGAGUGUGGGAGAGGAUGGUGGAAUUCCCAGUGUAGAGGUGAAAUUCGUAGAUAUUGGGAAGAACACCGGUGGCGAAGGCGGCCAUCUGGACCAUUACUGACGCUGAGGCGCGAAAGCGUGGGGAGCAAACAGG
rnacentral:rRNA from 1 species